AAAGAUAAAGAGAGAGAGAAAGAAAAAGAAAGAGAAAGAAAGAAAGAAAGGAAAGAAAGAAAGGCAAGCAAGCAAGCUACAUACCUUCCUCACAAUUUGCCCACUUGGAAAUUCCUUGUGGGCUCAAGAUCUUUACCCUAAAAUGGUUCUGUUGAAUUUUAUCCUGACAGUGUAAAUUGAUAGCUUAUCUAAACAGUUGCAGGACAAAGGACAAAACCGAAAGUCAUCCCUCUGCUCACUUAAGACAAAUGCACAUCUGAAUGCUUCACCUGAUGUAAAAGUGUGAUUCACUGAGCUACAUGAAAGCAUGAGUGACUAUUAUUCCUCUACCCACCACCCCCCCAACCCCCCCUCCCUGCCAACAUGUAAAUUGUGUAUUCAGUGAAAGGCUGAUCAAACACAAAAAAGAAUGAAACAAUUUGUCUCUUAUCUACCCACAACUUUAAAAGAUGUAUUCCUUUUUCCCCAAUAUCCACCCUUUCCCUUUAAAUAUUGAAGCCCUCAAAAUAAUCUUUGGAGAAAGGCACAGACAUGUUUGCUUGGUGUACAUAUUUAACCUUGGCAAAAUAAACAUUCUAAAUUCAUUG
rnacentral:lncRNA from 1 species